AGGCGGCUUGUCACGUCGGAUGUGAAAGCCCGGGGCUUAACCCCGGGUCUGCAUUCGAUACGGGCUAGCUAGAGUGUGGUAGGGGAGAUCGGAAUUCCUGGUGUAGCGGUGAAAUGCGCAGAUAUCAGGAGGAACACCGGUGGCGAAGGCGGAUCUCUGGGCCAUUACUGACGCUGAGGAGCGAAAGCGUGGGGAGCGAACAGGAUUAGAUACCCUGGUAGUCCACGCCGUAAACGUUGGGAACUAGGUGUUGGCGACAUUCCACGUCGUCGGUGCCGCAGCUAACGCAUUAAGUUCCCCGCCUGGGGAGUACGGCCGCAAGGCUAAAACUCAAAGGAAUUGACGGGGGCCCGCACAAGCAGCGGAGCAUGUGGCUUAAUUCAACGCAACGCGAAGAACCUUACCAAGGCUUGACAUAUACCGGAAAGCAUCAGAGAUGGUGCCCCCCUUGUGGUCAGUAUACAGGUGGU
rnacentral:rRNA from 1 species